GGCUCAAUGGUCUAGUAGUAUGAUUCCUGCUUCGGGUUUUCACACCCGCGAGGGUUCUUCCCACGCUUCUAAUGCAGGAGGUCUCGGGUUCAAUUCCCGAUUGAGCCC
rnacentral:tRNA from 1 species